rfam:Sorghum bicolor cultivar BTx623 chromosome 6, whole genome shotgun sequence.
GUAGUCGGAUCCGCAUCAAUCCACGUGUGUUGAGGUGGCUUGAAGUGGAAAUUGAACUAAAUUCCACCUCAAUCCACUCCAACACAUGUGGAUUGAGGUGAAUCCGACA